GCCUGUAUGGCAUAGUGAUUUGAGUGUUGGAGUAUAACUCUGAAGACAAGGGUUCAAUUCCCAGCUCGGCCA